rnacentral:tRNA from 1 species
AGGGGUAUAGCUCAGUGGUAGAGCCCAUGAUCGGUGUGCAUGAGGUCCUGGGUUCAAUCCCCAGUGCCUCCC